UAUGGCAUGAGUCAAAGUAUAAUAAUAUACUAAAGUAAUAUACAGACAAGAUUAGCAUGGCCUGCGCAAGGAUGGCACGCAAAAUCGUGAAGCGUUUGUAAUUUAA